rnacentral:rRNA from 1 species
UUCCGGUUGAUCCUGCCGGACCUGACUGCUAUCGGAUUGAUACUAAGCCAUGCGAGUCAUUGUAGCAAUACAAGGCAGACGGCUCAGUAACGCGUAGUCAAUCUACCCUAUGGACGGGAAUAACCUCGGGAAACUGAGAAUAAUGCCCGAUAGAACAUUAUGCCUGGAAUGGUUUAUGUUUCAAAUGAUUUAUCGCCAUAGGAUGGGACUGCGGCCUAUCAGUUUGUUGGUGAGGUAAUGGCCCACCAAGACUAUUACAGGUACGGGCUCUGAGAGGAGUGGCCCGGAGAUGGGUACUGAGACACGGACCCAGGCCCUAUGGGGCGCAGCAGGCGAGAAAACUUUGCAAUGUGCGAAAGCACGACAAGGUUAAUCCGAGUGGUUUCUGCUAAAGAAACCUUUUGUCAGUCCUAGAAACACUAACGAAUAAGGGGUGGGCAAGUUCUGGUGUCAGCCGCCGCGGUAAAACCAGCACCUCAAGUGGUCAGGAGGAUUAUUGGGCCUAAAGCAUCCGUAGCCGGCUCUGCAAGUUUUCGGUUAAAUCCACUUGCUCAACAAAUGGGCUGCCGAAAAUACUACAUAGCUAGGGAGUGGGAGAGGUAGACGGUAUUCGGUAGGAAGGGGUAAAAUCCUUUGAUCUAUUGAGGACCACCUAUGGCGAAGGCAGUCUACCAGAACACGUUCGACGGUGAGGGAUGAAAGCUGGGGGAGCAAACCGGAUUAGAUACCCGGGUAGUCCCAGCUGUAAACGAUGCAGACUCGGUGAUGCACUGGCUUGUGGCCAGUGCAGUGCCGCAGGGAAGCCGUUAAGUUUGCCGCCUGGGAAGUACGUACGCAAGUAUGAAACUUAAAGGAAUUGGCGGGGGAGCACCACAAGGGGUGAAGCCUGCGGUUCAAUUGGAUUCAACGCCGGA